GUGGCUGUAGCUCAAUGACAGAGUGCUUAUCUAGCAUGUGUGAGGCACUGGGUUCGAUCCUCAGCACCACA
rnacentral:tRNA from 1 species